GAUGAAGAACGUAGCGAAAUGCGAUAAGUAAUGUGAAUUGCAGAAUUCAGUGAAUCAUCGAAUCUUUGAACGCACCUUGCGCCCUUUGGCUAUUCCGAAGGGCAUGCCUGUUUGAGUAUCAUGAACACCUCAACCCUCAUGGUUUGCCAUGACGGGCUUGGACUUUGGGGGUCUUGCUGGAUUGUAGUCAGCUCCCCUUAAACAAAUCAGCUUGCCAGUGUUUGGUGGCAUCACAGGUGUGAUAACUAUCUAUGCUUGUGGUUUUACAUCAGAUAACCUUCAGUGAUGGAGGUUCACUGGAGCUCAUAUAGGUGUCUCUCCUCUGUGAGGACAGCUCUUUGAAUGUUUGAUCUCAAAUCAGGCAGGACUACCCGAUGAACUUAAGCAUAUCAAUAAGCGGAGGA
rnacentral:misc_RNA from 1 species